CUUUGGGGUGAAAUUUCAUGUCAUAGGCACUUUAAACUCUCUACUAACUUCCCGACUCAGGAUCUUCGCUCGAAACGUCGAAAUUCUCCUUGCAAGAGCCUGUUCGCAGGCUACUCCUUGUAUUUUUCAGGUAGCUGUAUCCCCCUCAAUCCCCAGUUGUCUUGUUAUCCUUGCUGCCUACACUGACACAGACGUUUGAGCUCCAUAUAUAUCUGGAGUGAAAACUCGAGUCCUGAAAGUGAAGCCAAAGAUGGAGCUAUUGUGACGUCAGUUUCAAUUCCUUUCUAUUGUUUUUGUCCGCGCGUUCUACAAGGAAUGUGCCGAAAUUCCGUAUUUUGACGUCCAUUUAAAGAAUGCUACUAUGGUUUUAUCAACUGAUAACUUGAUUAGCGAUAUGG